GACGAAGGGGGCAAGCGUUGUUCGGAAUUACUGGGCGUAAAGGGCGCGUAGGCGGCGCUUUAAGUCAGGUGUGAAAGCCCUGGGCUCAACCUGGGAGUGGCACUUGAUACUGGAGUGCUAGAGAGCGGGAGAGGAUGGUGGAAUUCCCAGUGUAGAGGUGAAAUUCGUAGAUAUUGGGAAGAACACCGGUGGCGAAGGCGGCCAUCUGGACCGUAUCUGACGCUGAGGCGCGAAAGCGUGGGGAGCAAACAGG
rnacentral:misc_RNA from 1 species